rnacentral:rRNA from 1 species
CAGCAGCCGCGGGAAUACGAAGGGGGCUAGCGUUGUUCGGAUUUACUGGGCGUAAAGCGCACGUAGGCGGAUCGAUCAGUCAGGGGUGAAAUCCCAGAGCUCAACUCUGGAACUGCCUUUGAUACUGUCGAUCUGGAGUAUGGAAGAGGUGAGUGGAAUUCCGAGUGUAGAGGUGAAAUUCGUAGAUAUUCGGAGGAACGCCAGUGGCGAAGGCGGCUCACUGGUCCAUUACUGACGCUGAGGUGCGAAAGCGUGGGGGGCAAACAGGAUUAGAUACCCCUGUAGUCCCUGUCUCUUAUAC